rfam:Canis lupus familiaris chromosome 4, whole genome shotgun sequence.
ACCUGGCUGGCUCAGUCAGAAGAGCCUGUGACUCCUGAUCUCAGGAUUGUGAGUUCAAGCCCCAUGUUGGGUG